UGCGGCUGGAUCCCCUCCUUUCUAGAGAUCCCGGGUAACCGGGCGUUCCGCGAGGAAGGCUCGGCAGAUCCCGGAACUCAGGUCGACCGUUGGCCUCCUCGAUUCAGUUUCCAGGGAAUUGGCCAUGUCCCUGGACUGGGCCUAUAGCUCAGUCGGUCAGAGCGCACGCCUGAUAAGCGUGAGGUCGGUAGUUCAAAUCUACCUAGGCCCACCACGAGCGAGCGCCCUGGCCCUGGAGCGAGCUCGGGGCUGUAGCUCAGCUGGGAGAGCACCUGCUUUGCAAGCAGGGGGUUGUCGGUUCGAAUCCGAUCAGCUCCACCAGCGCAGACUCGAUGGGAUGCGCGGUCGCGAGGCGCAGGCGUCGCGAGCGCGGAUCCCAGCGAUCCUCGAGAACGAAGUUCUUUGACAACUGAAUCGGAUUUGUAGCGACUAGAUUCGCCGGUCAGCAAAUCACUCAAGUCAAGGUCAAGCUACUAAGGGUGUACGGUGGAUGCCUUGGCA
rnacentral:tRNA from 1 species